GCUCCUAUAGCUGGAGGGGAGGGGAUAUGACUAGAAGUAGGGGGAGAGAUUAACAAAAACAUAUUUGCACAUUUAAAGGCUGACCUUAUCUUUGGAAAUAGCUAACUUCAUCCCUUGCAGUAGAAUUGAGCAGUCCAUGUGCCUCACCUGCACAGCAAGAGGGGAAUUUUGGCCAGAGGGAGGUAUUAAGGGGCUGUGGAAGAAACUAUCAAGUGAAACCAGCAAGAAUCUGUGUUCUAGCUGAGGCUGUCAGAGUUUUGCAGGGAAAACUGCUGUUUGCCACCACUGCCCCCUCCCCAGCCCAGAGCUGUGCUGGCCAGCAGGAGCACAGCUGUCCACCCCUUUCUGCCCCCGCAAGAAGAAAAGCUUCAUAUUGAGCUCUGACAAGCAAUCUGGAUAAUUCUCAGAUUGAAGGAGAGAAUGCACUGUCAGUUUCUGCACUCUGCCACUGUCCUUCUUGCCAAUGAGGAAUUAAACCCUACGCUGGUUUCUUCUGCUGAACGCAGACCUUCUGACAGGCUUCCCUAUCAGCCUGCAGCCUCUCGUGUUCUCUAGCUCUUCAAGAUAUCUGUGCUCACAGAGACAUGCUGUGGCAGGACUCCUUGCUCUCCUGAGGCAGCAAACACUGGCCACAGUCAAAGGAAAGGCACUUGCCAGAGAUCCCAAGGACAGAACUGUGUGAGGUUUUGCUCGGCAGCACUUUGUUUCAAUGCGCGAAUCCCUCUGAAUCAUACGCUUGCUCUGGUUUUGUAAAAGCUGGUGCAGAUCAAACAAAGUAAGCAACACUGUUUCCAAGGCAAACAUUCCAUGUUUGCAUUCAGAUUUGACCUCUAUUGUCUCCGAGGUGCAUGAGUCUUACUUAACUUUUAUCUUGCUACUCCUCAGGAGGCUAGAUGAGCUGAGAGGACACAGUAAUGGGCUAUGGGACCUCUCUCACCUGCAGCCUUCAUUUCUAAACAGCAGCCUUGGCUGAGGCUCCAGCUUGCUUUACAAAUAUUUAAAGGGCUGUUUUACACAAACUCUCAGGAAAACAGUUGUACGUUUGUUGCUACCUAACAUUUUGCAAGGAAGCGAAGCUGCCACCGCUACUUUGAUAAAAGAGUUCUCCAUCACGGGGGUGGCAGGAAAAAGGGGGUGAAAUAAGACAACUCUUCUCAGCUUGCCUCAAUUUAAUGAGCUCCUAAAGGAGCCUUAUUGUUCACCCUGUGCUUUCCUCCAUUGUGAACUUCUCAGCCUCAUCAAAAAGAGCUUCUUUUCUUCCUUUUUUUUUUUUUUUUUAACUUUUUUUUCCCUUUAACUCAGGCUCUGUUUGAUCAGCCCUUUCCCCUUUUUUUCCGCAAUCCCCCACAUCACGCUGGAACUGGUACCAGUGGAGCAUAUCGGCAUGCCCUAGCAACACAGAGAUUAAGGGAACUACCAGCUCCAGAGGACAGGCUGGUUUGGACUUACUAAUUAACUGCAAUGAAAGAAGUGAAAGAGAACAGCCCUUUCUUUGGGGUAGAAGAGGC